rnacentral:rRNA from 1 species
GAUGAACGCUGGCGGCGUGCCUAAUACAUGCAAGUCGAGCGAACGGACGAGAAGCUUGCUUCUCUGAUGUUAGCGGCGGACGGGUGAGUAACACGUGGAUAACCUACCUAUAAGACUGGGAUAACUUCGGGAAACCGGAGCUAAUACCGGAUAAUAUUUUGAACCGCAUGGUUCAAAAGUGAAAGACGGUCUUGCUGUCACUUAUAGAUGGAUCCGCGCUGCAUUAGCUAGUUGGUAAGGUAACGGCUUACCAAGGCAACGAUGCAUAGCCGACCUGAGAGGGUGAUCGGCCACACUGGAACUGAGACACGGUCCAGACUCCUACGGGGGGCAGCAGUAGGGAAUCUUCCGCAAUGGGCGAAAGCCUGACGGAGCAACGCCGCGUGAGUGAUGAAGGUCUUCGGAUCGUAAAACUCUGUUAUUAGGGAAGAACAUAUGUGUAAGUAACUGUGCACAUCUUGACGGUACCUAAUCAGAAAGCCACGGCUAACUACGUGCCAGCAGCCGCGGUAAUACGUAGGUGGCAAGCGUUAUCCGGAAUUAUUGGGCGUAAAGCGCGCGUAGGCGGUUUUUUAAGUCUGAUGUGAAAGCCCACGGCUCAACCGUGGAGGGUCAUUGGAAACUGGAAAGCUUGAGUGCAGAAGAGGAAAGUGGAAUUCCAUGUGUAGCGGUGAAAUGCGCAGAGAUAUGGAGGAACACCAGUGGCGAAGGCGACUUUCUGGUCUGUAACUGACGCUGAUGUGCGAAAGCGUGGGGAUCAAACAGGAUUAGAUACCCUGGUAGUCCACGCCGUAAACGAUGAGUGCUAAGUGUUAGGGGGUUUCCGCCCCUUAGUGCUGCAGCUAACGCAUUAAGCACUCCGCCUGGGGAGUACGACCGCAAGGUUGAAACUCAAAGGAAUUGACGGGGACCCGCACAAGCGGUGGAGCAUGUGGUUUAAUUCGAAGCAACGCGAAGAACCUUACCAAAUCUUGACAUCCUUUGACAACUCUAGAGAUAGAGCCUUCCCCUUCGGGGGACAAAGUGACAGGUGGUGCAUGGUUGUCGUCAGCUCGUGUCGUGAGAUGUUGGGUUAAGUCCCGCAACGAGCGCAACCCUUAAGCUUAGUUGCCAUCAUUAAGUUGGGCACUCUAAGUUGACUGCCGGUGACAAACCGGAGGAAGGUGGGGAUGACGUCAAAUCAUCAUGCCCCUUAUGAUUUGGGCUACACACGUGCUACAAUGGACAAUACAAAGGGCAGCGAAACCGCGAGGUCAAGCAAAUCCCAUAAAGUUGUUCUCAGUUCGGAUUGUAGUCUGCAACUCGACUACAUGAAGCUGGAAUCGCUAGUAAUCGUAGAUCAGCAUGCUACGGUGAAUACGUUCCCGGGUCU